UUUAAUUUCUAAUUUGUAUUGGCAUACUUUUUCCCUUUCGUCCCCAAAAAAUGCAAAACAACCACAACAUUCCUUGAGUUAUAUGCCAAGCAUCCAUUUCUUUUAUUUGGUUCACAGAGUGCCUAGUAUUUGGGUCAUUGUUCAAAGUAGCCUUUCCUCUAUGGAAAACAAAUACAAAGCCAUAAACAAAAUAAGAGACGCAAAAGAAUUUAAUUCCCUUUUUAAGACUACACAGAGGAAGAACCAUAUGAAAAUCCCAAUGAGUCUUUGCUAAAACUUUACAACAAACCGAAAAACUUGAACUCAGCAAUUUUAGGUACUAACCUUUCACCUUCAUGCAUUUUCUCACUAACCAAACAUAUACAUUUUCUCACCUCAAAAUCCCGAAUAUAUUCAAGUAAUUCAACUACUUAUGAUCAAGCAGAUCGAGUUCAAAUUUUCAAAAACUUAAGCAAAUACAGAAACAUAUAUUCUUCAAGUACAUCGCCAGGAUUCAAAAUUCUAAAAAAUUUAAAAUUUACAAAAUCAUGAAAUAAUUCAACAAAUUAAGAUGCAGAUCGAAACACAAAAAAAAAAGCAAAUAAGUUCGUCUAAAUGUCAUAAUCGGACUCCAAUAUCGCAUGCCCAGUGCCCACAUUCAAAUUCAUAGUCAAGUCCACAAUAGAUCUAGAAAAUUCCGAAACAUAUUCAAAGAAAAAUACAAACUUUUUCACCUUAAAUUACAUAAAUUUCAAAUGGGUAACCAUAAAAUCGCCAUGAUCAUAAAAUUAAAAACCCAUGAACUGACAAAUAAAU
rnacentral:lncRNA from 1 species